GUAGGGUGCAAGCGUUAAUCGGAAUUACUGGGCGUAAAGCGUGCGCAGGCGGUUUUGUAAGACAGUGGUGAAAUCCCCGGGCUCAACCUGGGAACUGCCAUUGUGACUGCAAGGCUGGAGUGCGGCAGAGGGGGAUGGAAUUCCGCGUGUAGCAGUGAAAUGCGUAGAUAUGCGGAGGAACACCGAUGGCGAAGGCAAUCCCCUGGGCCUGCACUGACGCUCAUGCACGAAAGCGUGGGGAGCAAACAGGAUUAGAUACCCUGGUAGUCCACGCCCCUAAACGAUGUCAACUGGUUGUUGGGAAUUUAUUUUCUCAGUAACGAAGCUAACGCGUGAAGUUGACCGCCUGGGAGUACGGCCGCAAGGUUA
rnacentral:rRNA from 1 species